rnacentral:rRNA from 1 species
UACGAAGGGGGGCUAGCGUUGCUCGGAAUGACUGGGCGUAAAGGGCGCGUAGGCGGUUCACGCAGUCAGAUGUGAAAUUCCUGGGCUCAACCUGGGGGCUGCAUUUGAUACGCGUGGACUGGAGUGGGGAAGAGGGUCGUGGAAUUCCCAGUGUAGAGGUGAAAUUCGUAGAUAUUGGGAAGAACACCGGUGGCGAAGGCGGCGACCUG